UACGGAGGAUCCAAGCGUUAUCCGGAUUUAUUGGGUUUAAAGGGUGCGUAGGCGGCUUAUUAAGUCAGGGGUGAAAGACGGUGGCUCAACCAUCGCAGUGCCCUUGAUACUGAUGAGCUUGAAUACACUUGAGGUAGGCGGAAUGUGACAAGUAGCGGUGAAGUGCAUAGAUAUGUCACAGAACACCAAUUGCGAAGGCAGCUUACUAAGGUGCAAUUGACGCUGAGGCACGAAAGCGUGGGGAUCAAACAGG
rnacentral:rRNA from 1 species